GUUGAACGCUGGCGGCAUGCUUUACACAUGCAAGUCGAACGGUAACAGGCCUCCUGGCGCUUACGAGUGGCUAACGGGCGAGUAAUUCAUCCGAACGUGCCUAGCCGGGGGGGAUGACUACCCGAACGAGAACCUAAUACCUCAUACGAACUAUGUACGAAUGCGGGGGACCGUAAUUCCUCCCGCGAUUGGUGCGGUCGAUGUCAGAUUAGGUAGUUGGUGGGGUAAAGGCACACCAAGCCAACGAUCUGUAGCUGGUCUGAGAGGACGACCAGCCACACUGGGACUGAGACACGGCCCAGACUCCUACGGGAGGCAGCAGUGGGGAAUUUUGGACAAUGGGCGAAAGCCUGAUCCAGCAAUGCCGCGUGUGGGAAGAAGGCCUUCGGGUUGUAAACUGCUUUUGUACGGAAAGAAACGGCUCUGGUUAAUACCCGCGGGUGAUGACGGUACCGUAAGAAUAAGCACCGGCUAACUACGUG
rnacentral:rRNA from 1 species